rnacentral:lncRNA from 1 species
UACAAUUUAAAAUUCUUCUCCUUUCCUCCUUAAAAAAUAUACAAAAAUAUUCACUCACUCUCACUUUCUUUUUUUUUGAAACAAAAGAAGCUCAACAUAAUAAAGUGGAGCAAAUGAUUCUAAUAACAAGUGUUACAUAGAAAUAAAUAAAUCCUGUUAACUGCCAAAAGGAUCUCUAUCGAUCCAUUCUUUGUAGCUUAGAAAUGUCCUCCUUAUUACAAUCUCAACACCUGCUUCCUUAUGAUUAAAGAUCCUAACAUUACGUUCCACCCAGACAUUCCAGAUCACUGUAAAAAAUCUCAACACUCUCACUUUCUUUAGCCCAACUCUAUCUCCAUCUCAACAUCUCAACAUCGCCACCAUCAUCACUAUUCCCAACCUCACUAUGAAAAUAUCUCUAUUCGACUGCAAUUCUCCCCCACACCAUCCUAUCAACCCACCACUGACAUAUGCUUUUAACUUGGUGCACGACGCACUGCUACUUUUUUUCCCUUUUAAUUCCUGUUAUAAGGAAGUUAUAUUGCAGGUGUUGGAUUUGAACUUUUCAAGAAUACCACAUAACUUGAACAUUUUCGUAGCCACAAACCAUGACUUCACCGUCCAGAUCCAUCAUAUCACGGUUCUCUUAUUCUGCAAUAAUCAUAAACACACAAAAAAUCAACUAUAUUAAUACAUGAACCAUGAUAAUUAAUAUUAAUUAAUAAUUAAUAAUUAAUAAUUAAUAAUAACAACAAAUUAAUACAUGAACAACGGGGUUGUGAUGGUUUUCUCCAAGACACCAUAUAUGAAUAUUGAGAGACAGAAGAGAGUGGAUGGAA